GUCUACAGCCUACCACCCUGAACGUGCCUGAUCCCGUCUGAUCUCGGAAGCUAAGCAGGGUUGGGCCUGGUUAGUACUUGGAUGGGAGACUGUCUGGGACUACCAGGUGCUGUAGGCU
rnacentral:rRNA from 1 species